CCCAAUGCUCUGUGCUCCUAUGCCCCCCUGUGGGCCAAUAUCCAAAGACCUUGAGUGCAAGGAGCUACUGACAACGAACAAUACUUAUGGACUGCCCGAAGAACAGUGGACCUUGGCGUGGGCCGGGUAACCCACUAGUUCAUAGUCAUCCCUGACUGCCCCCAUCCCUUGCUCAUGAGAAAAUUGCUCUCCAAAUUGGCUUGCGUGGGCUAAAAUGGCUGGAUGAGGCCAUGUGUAUACAUAUCUAUAGACUGUGUAUGUGGAGCUUAAGACCUGUCUCAGUACACCAGUAACUGAUGCUGGGAGUUGAAUGGCUUAGUGCUUUUCUGCCUGAAACACACCGUUCCUGCCAGCCGGGCACUAACAAUUAUCACCCAAUCCAGGACUUAAACUGUGAUAGAGUGGCUGAUAGAGUGUCCCUAAAGAUGGGACCACUGGUCAGCUGCCAUGGACUAGAUUCUCCACCGGUUGGGGACAAUCUGGUCACCUUGCUGCCCAAUCCGGACCUGGAGCCACCACAGCACGAGUGUCAAACACUGACAGAAGCACAUGGGUGGAGGAAAGACCUCUGCGACUGGCUGAUUGACCCCUGCUGAAAGCCGAGGACCUUGUCCACAGACGGGAACAGUUCUCUUCAUGAAUGAAGGUCAGAGACAAGUGGGUGCUGCCAUGGUGGACAACACAAUGUCAUCUAGAAUGGCUGAACCCCAACCCCCCCAGCACAUCAGCGCCACAGAUGUCUUUGCCAUCUCUUAGAUGCCCUGAUGAAGCCAACAACUGUGAGUACUAUUCAUUGCUUAGGAUAUCAGGAGGAAAGAGAUUCAGUGACAUGGGACAGUAACAAAACAGAUAAAGUGGCUCGAGAAAUGGUUAUACAGGAGCCUAUCCUGGUUACAGGCCUACAAGAGACAGCCACUGGGAACUGAGAUUGGACUAAGGGAUGGCCUCACUUAGAAUGUACAACAGAAGAAAAGGCCCAAGUUGUUUAAAAGAUAAAAGGACAAUGACACACUUGGGGAGAAAGCUAUACCCCCCAAAGAACAAACAAAAGACUCACUUUGCCAAAUUAAGAAAUGGACUCAUUUAAGAGAUAAAAAGUUUGUCCAAAUAGUUAAAAUAUAUAUAAUAGACUUUAAGAUUUUAGCCAAGAGAGACAGUAAAAAGUAUAAGAUAUGUCAAUAAGUAAAUGCUUAACAAGCAAACAGGGCAAAGAGACCUAGAGAGUUUAGUGAAAAGUCGAAGUGAACUUCACUGAGAUAAAACCAGAAAAAUAUAAUCACAAGUAUCUCCUAGUGCUUGUAGAUACUUUUUCAGGAAUAGAUAGAAGCUUUCCUCACCAAACGAGAGACGGCCUCUACAAUCAUCAAGAAGAUACUAGAAGAAAUCUUCCCCAGGUCUGGAAUGCCCAAGGUAAUCUGGUCAGACAACGGCCCUACUUUCGUUGCCAAGGUAAGCCAGGGUGUGGCCAAGUAUUUAGAGGUCGAUUAGAAAUUACAUUAUAUUUACAGACCUCAAAGUUCAGGACAGGUAGAGUAAAUAAAUAGAACUCUAAAAGAGACCCUAAACAAAUUGACCAUGGAGACUGGCACAGACUGGGUGACACUCCUUCCCUCUUGCUCUCUUCAGAGCAAGAAAUACCCCUUCCAGAUUCCGCCUUACCCCCUUUGAGAUCUUAUAUGGGGCCUCAGCUCCCCUGACUGUAUUAGAUGAUGUUACUGAACCAACAUGUCAUAGUAAUAAUGAUUUGUGUGCCAGGCUAAAAGACCUACAGGUGAUACAGAAAGAAAUCUGCUCACAGCUGACAGCAGCCUAUGCCCCGGAGACCCCUGAGACAUCCCAUCAGUUCCAGGUCGGAAGCAGCUACACUGAGCCCAGACACUCGAUCCUCGCUGGAAAGGACCAUACCUGGUGCUGCUGACC
rnacentral:lncRNA from 1 species